rnacentral:lncRNA from 1 species
UUUCAGUUAAUACUGUCAAACUAGUAUGCGUGUGUCAGUAAAAGGAUUCAAAUUUCGUAGAAUGUGAGUCUGAAGAUCUCGGAAUUGAAGCAACAAAACAGAAGGAAAAGUAGCCACUGGUGUGGCCUGUACCAAAAGUACGAUAUUCACCAUGUCGCUUCCCGACGCAAUGGGAAUUAAGCAUACGGGGGAAACGCCCAGUCAACAGAAAGAGGUCUACUUCGAAGGUGCGGAGGCUUGACAUAGUCUUUUGGUGAACAGGAGUGACAUACCUUGAUCGGGAGUUGAACUCCCUCGACCUCAGACGUCGGCAGAGGAUGGAACUGCAGAUCACUUGUACCAGAUUCGUGACGACGGCAAUAACGAAAAAACGAAAGCUUAUGAGUUCGUCGCAGAAUGACGUGCUUCGGAGGACCGAGGUGUGCCGCUAUUAUCCGCCUCUGGGAUCACUUUGUUGGCUUGGCUCGGCUUGACUUCACUUGGGGACCGCUCACAGCACACACGGCACAACGCAACGAACACAGUAGUUCCUCGCCUUCUAGCUUACCGCAGAAGACAGAGAACGGUACGGAAUGGAACCGAACGGAACGGGCCCCUCUGCACUACUCCUUUACGAACAGGUGUGGAGGGGAGACCAGAAACCACCAGCCAUACUACUGGCUAGGUAUGCGAUCCGAUAACCCGCUCAGAGUUACAUUUAUGUGCAACACACUCACCUCGACUUCAGCGAUUCUCAUUUGAUCCAUGGGACUUUUAUUCCAUCCUUCACCAUCUGGCAUUCAUGGAUCAGAAGGAGGAACAAUCAUUGUAAUGUUCGGACAAAUGAAUUGCUCAAUGGUUCCAAUGACCUUCAUCAUCUCUUCUGUGCGAAAUUCACGAAACUCCGCGUCUACAGUCCGCCAUUCGAGUGAUAACCAAAGUUGACGUUAGAUUCAAGCUUCAGCAUGAACCCGUUCGUCUGACUGAACAGAAUGCUUUUUGAUUUCGUAAAAAGUUGAGCAGAGAAAAAUCAAACCAUUUAUUUAACCACUGGCUUCGAUUGACCAAUAAUGAAAUCGACACUACUCGAUUUUCUUGUGGAUUGGUGAAAAGGCCCCAUGUGAUCAACUGUGUGAUGGAAGUUGUUCGAACACUAUAUGCUGAGUGGAAUCACUCAGAACCAGCUAAUGCUAAUGGCAUAUAGCAUAAACAGCUUUUUCGGUUCCAGUAGCGGUACAACAUAGAAGAAAAUAAAGGGCUUCUGGGUCUGAAGUGUAACGGAUUUGUUGUAAUGUUUAUUGCAGAUGUUACCUGCUAUGGCUGACCGACUAACACGUUUGAGAACAGACUGAAGCAUGAGGAAUAAUUGCGAAACUCGUUUACGGGGCAUUUGUACCGUUGUUCACUUUCAAUUCGUCGUAGUCCGCGUAGAUCGGCAUGUACUCGAUGUUCAAUAUUAUUUUCGCUAUUACUGUACCUACUACUAAUUACACUCACUGUCACCUGAUUGUCUUCGUGUAAAAGCCUGAUGAAUUUCGUACGGUACGAAGAAUAAACAGUUGUGAAGAUCC